rnacentral:rRNA from 1 species
UACGUAGGGUGCAAGCGUUGUCCGGAAUUACUGGGCGUAAAGAGCUCGUAGGCGGUCUGUCGCGUCGGCUGUGAAAACUCGGGGCUCAACCCCGAGCCUGCAGUCGAUACGGGCAGACUUGAGUGCUGUAGGGGAGACUGGAAUUCCUGGUGUAGCGGUGAAAUGCGCAGAUAUCAGGAGGAACACCGGUGGCGAAGGCGGGUCUCUGGGCAGUAACUGACGCUGAGGAGCGAAAGCGUGGGGAGCGAACAGG